CUUAGUGGCGGACGGGUGAGUAACGCGUGAGAAUCUACCUUCAGGACGGAGACAACAGUUGGAAACGACUGCUAACCCCCGAUGUACCGAAAGGGCAAAUAUUUAUAGCCUGAAGAAGAGCUCGCGUCCGAUUAGCUAGUUGGAGAGGUAAAAGCUCACCAAGGCGACGAUCGGUAGCUGAUCUGAGAGGACGAUCAGCCACACUGGGACUGAGACACGGCCCAG
rnacentral:rRNA from 1 species